CAGAGAAACAGAAGAACAAAUGGAUGCUGCUGCCAGUGUCCACUCCCAGUCCUUUGAGGCCAAUCAGGAGGACAGGAGCAGAUCCACCAACCUCUAGAU